UUUCACCUUUACCCCAUAGAUACCUUAUUUACUAAUUGCACUUUGUUACUUUGCUUUAUAGAUACUAAUUUUACCUUGCCCUACACCUUCACCUGCAUUUCU